CCUACGGGAGGCAGCAGUGGGGAAUAUUGCGCAAUGGGCGAAAGCCUGACGCAGCGACGCCGCGUGAGGGAUGACGGUCUUCGGAUCGUAAACCUCUGUCAGCAGGGAAGAACGGUCACUGUGCUAAUCAGCAGUGAAUUGACGGUACCUGCAAAGGAAGCACCGGCUAACUCCGUGCCAGCAGCCGCGGUAAUACGGAGGGUGCGAGCGUUAAUCGGAAUUACUGGGCGUAAGGCGCUCGUAGGAGGUAUGUCAAGUCAAGGGUGAAAUCCCCGCGCUCAACGUGGGAACUGCCUUUGAAACUGGCAAACUUGAGGGUGUGAGAGGAUAGUGGAAUUCCAGGUGUAGGAGUGAAAUCCGUAGAUAUCUGGAGGAACAUCAGUGGCGAAGGCGACUAUCUGGCACAUAACUGACGCUGAGGAGCGAAAGCGUGGGUAGCAAACAGGAUUAGAUACCCUGGUAGUC
rnacentral:rRNA from 1 species